rnacentral:lncRNA from 1 species
UCAGCACAGGCAGAGAGGAAUGGCUGGUCUGAGUCCUCCGAGAAACAACUGCAGACAUCCCCAGAUUUAUCACUCAACUGGGCCCCUAGGGUGCCACCCUGACCUUCAGAAUGGAGCAGAGGGAUAGAACACAGGACUGGCUGCCCUCUGGAAGACCUGCAUUGGUCCUUGAUGGUUGGAUAAAGGAACUGGGUAGAAGGUCCUUCCCUGCCCUUUGCGUUGGAGAAGAUGAGGAUGGCGAGUUGGGUGUGCACCCCAGGAUCCCUGGUGGACUGAUGGACAACAUGGGCCCUAGGCUUUGUGAGGAGCACUUAACACUACAGCAGAGAAAAGUUCAUGGCUGGGUGAGUGCUAAUCUUCCCAGGAUCUAGUCUUAAAGCCUAAAGAUUUCUCCAGACAGGAAGGCCCAGCUCUCAGCAUCCUGCCCCAAGGAGAUACCAUUGUAGGUGGCCCAUGAAGGCUCUGGAUGAUUCUUUUUUGGACCGGCAGUUUCUUGAGUUAGUUAUUAUCCCUUGCAGUGUUGGAGAAUGAGGGACCUGUGGUUCUGAUAGAAGAUUCUAGAGAUGGGCACUCUUGACUGCAAAAUUACCCUGUGACCCCAGGCAGCAGAUAAAAAGAAUCUGAAAACUAAAUUCUCAAUGAUCAAUCCAGGGCCUUGAGAAUGGUGGGAGGUGAUGAAGUGGACUCAUAAAUAAAAUAAAAUCUCCUUCUCAUAGGACUCCCAGGAGCUCUCAGUUUUUGAAAGGUUUUUGCCUCGAAGAGAAGUGGGACCAAGAAAAACAGUUCUUCCUUCUUGGUUCCCCACAUUAAAGUUCCUCCCUUCACAAACACACACGACACACACAUGAACUCAUACACUUGCACAGAAUCUUUCUGUCUAACCAAGAUUGGCAUUGACUGCUUCUUGCCUCUGACUCUCAAGUGCUAGAAUAGCUGGCAUGUACCCUUGCACUCGUAUCUUUCAUUUUGUGACUUACCGUGUGGUUGCUGGGAAUUGAACUCAAGACCUCUGGAAUAGCAGACAGUGCUCUUAGCCACUGAGCCCUCUCUCAGGCCCAUAUCUUUUGCUUUUAACUGAAAAAUUGUGCUUGUGGAUGUCUAGGGAGUACCAAAGGCUGCUAGGAUUUGACUACAGUACAGGAUGGUUUAAUCAAGGCUAUUACCAUAGUUGUCUCAAAUUUCUAAAAAAGUUUUGACCAGAACAUUUGAAAUUCAAAUUAAAACAUUCAACAUUUUGCUAAAUUUACCAUGCUUUGUAAUUGAUCUGAAAACAAACAAACAAACAAACAAACAAACAAACAAAGAAGGGAACCCCAACUUGCUCCUGUUUGAUGUUGCACUCUGGGACUGCUGCCUCCUCUCCUCCCCCAGCCUCUGGCAACUUCCUCUCUGCUUCUGUGACUACAGCUGUAGAAAUCAGAAUAGAAAGUGCACUCUUCUGUUUUGGGCUUAUUUCAUGCAGACAAAGUCCUCUAGCCCCAUCUAUAUGGUUGCAAAUGACAGAAUCUCUUCCCCAUUUUCAAAAAUGUUAUUAAUAUGUAUCUGCCAUACAAAGGAAUAGGUUUUAUUAUGUCAAGUAUUUUCAUCAUACUCACCCUUUUCUGCCCUCAUUAUGUCUGUUCCUUCUUUUCUCGAGGCACCUUCUUCCACUUUCAUGAUGCUGACAGUGCCUUCGUGAACUCUCCUGUCCCUUCAUCCUCCCCUCAUUCAUUUGCUGGCUUGUUGUUUUUACAUAUUCAUGGGCACACACAAAUAUGUGUGUUUUAGCUGUGUUCAGGUCCCCUUCAUCCCCGUAUGUUUUUACUAUGUGUUCUAGGUCAUGAGUGAUCUCCACCUCAGGGGGUGCUUCCUCCACUGAACCUCAGUCUGUGUGUGGCAUAUAGUACAUGCACUGUGACAUCUAGGAACACAGCCCUUUGCAACUCUAUGAAAGUCCUAGAUAUCCCAUCAAGAGUCUAUGGUUCUUUGGGUCAUCCAAUGAGAGGCCUGUAAGAUGGUCUGACCUCAAAGUGGGUCUUCUGCAGGCUGCAUAUAUGGGGGAAAUCAAAUCUUCAAUUCUUAUUUGCCUAUUGGCCUUGUAGGCAGCUGUGGGUUGAUUUUAGCUAUGGGUUGUCUAGGAAGCCCCAGGAUUAUGGAGACCCCAGAAAGAAUUUUACUUCUAUAGAUUUCUCAAAUCAGCCUACAGGAGACCAGCCCAAAGGGAAGUUUUUAAGGACC